AGCUCGCAGCUCUCAUCCGAAGUUAGCGAAGAGCAAAGGAGUUGCAACUAAAGUUGAACGCUGUAUGCUGAGGACGGCUGUCGUGAGUCGUGUCGAGAUCGGAGCGCCGCGCGGAAGUGCAGUGCUAAAAGCGGAAACGGAAGCUGAAACUGUAACUCACACAAGGUCUUAGGAUUGAGGAAUUUGAUAAAGGACAGAUGAAAUGAAGACUUGAAAGAUUAAAGACAAAUGCGUAUUGCAAAACAAACGGACAACAAAUGCAUUAAAUAUUCGUAUAUAUUUAAUCAUUACUUAUUUAAAUAUUUAAAUAAUUACAAUAAAAAUUAAUAAUAAAUAAUAAUAAUACACGAAGCUCAAAUAGACUGAAAUAGAGUCCAAAUAUAUUACGAAAGUAAAUGCAAUUAAUUAUACAUAUCAUAAAAUAAUUAGCAAUUGCAUUUAAGUUAUUAAAAA